ensembl:lncRNA novel transcript
GUUUGCCAGAGGAUGUUUUCCUCAGUGUCUGUUCGACCUUCAGCUUUUUUGGUCUUCCUUUUACGCUGCAUCUGAGCUGGUCUGCCUCCACGUUCUUGCGCCUUACACCGAUCUCCAGUGUCACCUUGGUUUAAGGCUCUUAUCUCAUAGGAGCAAAGAAGGGAAGAAGGACUCAGACAGGGCUUCGUGUCUUUCCAAAAGGAUCUACUGUCCCUCUCCUCCAGGGGGAACAGUAAGGGACACUUUCUCAGUACCCACACCCUUGCCUCAAUCUUUUUUGUAAGCAUCCAAUGAAAUCUGUGGAGAAGAGCCUGUGAGUGGAUACAAACUCCCCCUGUGUCUGCAGCCCCCCAGGCGAUCUCUGUUUUCUUGCUGGUCCACACUAAGUUCAUUAAAUUUUAACUGAA